rnacentral:rRNA from 1 species
GACGAACCGUGCGAACGUUGUUCGGAAUCACUGGGCUUAAAGGGCGCGUAGGCGGCCUGCCAAGUCAGGGGUGAAAGCCCCAGCUCAACUGGGGAAGUGCCUUUGAUACUGGCGGGCUCGAGCGAGGCAGGGGUCGUGGGAACUUCCGGUGGAGCGGUGAAAUGCGUUGAUAUCGGAAGGAACGCCGGUGGCGAAAGCGCACGACUGGUCCUCUUCUGACGCUGAGGCGCGAAAGCCAGGGGAGCAAACGGG